rnacentral:rRNA from 1 species
UACGUAGGGGGCGAGCGUUGUCCGGAUUUAUUGGGCGUAAAGAGCGCGUAGGCGGUCCGGUAAGUCAGCUGUGAAAGUCAGGGGCUCAACCCUUGAAAGCCGGUUGAUACUGUCGGGCUAGAGUCCGGAAGAGGCGAGUGGAAUUCCCGGUGUAGCGGUGAAAUGCGCAGAUAUCGGGAGGAACACCAAUGGCGAAGGCAGCUCGCUGGGACGGUACUGACGCUGAGGCGCGAAAGCGUGGGGAGCAAACAGG